UCAAGGAAGAAAGGGCGUACGGAGAAUGCCUGGGCACAGAGAGGCGAUGAAGGACGCAGCGAACAGCGAAAUGCGGCGGCGAGCGGUAAGCACGCGAUGACCCGCCGAUAUCCGAAUGGGGAAACCCCUCCGCUCAAGAAGCGGAGACCGCAUGACGACCGUCAUGACGGGGCAAUACGCAGGGAACUGAAACAUCUAAGUACCUGCAGGAAGAGAAAGAGAAGUCGAUUCCGUAAGUAGCGGCGAGCGAAAGCGGAGGAGCCCAAACCGGACACAGUCCGGGGUUGUAGGACCGCCGGUAAAGAUGACAUGAAGAGUCAGGAGAAUCCCAUGGGAAGGGGAUCCGAAGAGGGUGAGAGACCCGUAUCCGAAGGCUCGACAUGCGUCGAGGCGGCACCUGAGUACGGCGGGGCACGUGGAAUCCUGCCGGAAUCAUCGGGGACCAUCCCGAAAGGCUAAACACUACUCUGUGACCGAUAGCGAACCAGUACCGUGAGGGAAAGGUGAAAAGAACCCCGGGAGGGGAGUGAAAGAGAACCUGAAACCGCAUGCCCACAAGAAGUCAGAGCCCGUCAAAGGGUGAUGGCGUGCCUUUUGUAGAAUGAGCCGGCGAGUCACGAUCAGCAGGCGAGGUUAAGCAGGAGAUGCGGAGCCGCAGCGAAAGCGAGUCUUAAGAGGGCGAAAUAGUCUGAGGUCGUGGACCCGAAACCGGGUGAUCUAGCCAUGAGCAGGUUGAAGUCGGGGUAAGACCCGAUGGAGGACCGAACCGACCCCCGUUGAAACGUUGGCGGAUGACUUGUGGCUAGGGGUGAAAUUCCAAUCGAACCCGGAGAUAGCUGGUUCUCCCCGAAAUAGCUUUAGGGCUAGCGUCGCAGCGAGAGAGCCGUGAAGGUAGAGCACUGAAUAUGCGAUGGCCGCAUCCCGCGGUACUGAGCAUAAUCAAACUCCGAAUGUCACGGUGUCAUCUGCGGCAGUCAGACGGCGAGUGAUAAGGUCCGUCGUCAAGAGGGAAACAGCCCAGACCAUCAGCUAAGGUCCCAAAGUGCAUGCUAAGUGGAAAAGGAAGUGGAGACGUGCAGACAACUAGGAGGUUGGCUCAGAAGCAGCCAUCCUUCAAAGAGUGCGUAACAGCUCACUAGUCGAAUGACUCUGCGCCGAUAAUUUACCGGGGCUAAGCAUGACACCGAAGCUAUGGACAGGAAUGUGGUAGGGGAGCAUUGCAUGCAGCGGAGAAGCAUGACCGGGAGGGCAUGUGGAGCGCAUGGAAGAGAGAAUGCCGGCGUGAGUAGCGGCACGUGGGUGAGAAUCCCACGCACCGAUGGCCCAAGGUCUCCAGAGGAAGGCUCGUCCUCUCUGGGAUAGUCGGGACCUAAGGCGAGGCCGAAAGGCGUAGCCGAUGGACGACGGGUGGAUAUUCCCGUACCCGAUGUGUGGCGAUGGAGUGACGGAGAAGGCUCAGGCAACCAGCUGCUGGAAUAGCUGGGGCAAGCGAGAUACCUGCGCACCAGGGAAAUCCGGUGCGCAUAAGGGGAAGGCGCGAUGCAUACGGAAAGCUUCGGCAAGUACGGAAAAGCUGAGAGCAGGCUUCCAGGAAAAGCUUCUAGCACAACACACAUCGGCCCGUACCGAAAAUGGACACACAUGGGCAAGGAGAGAAUCCUGAGGUGAGCGAGAGAACUAUAGCUAAGGAACUCUGCAAAAUGACCCCGUAACUUAGGGAGAAGGGGUGCUCCAGAAAUGGAGCCGCAGUAAAACGGCCCAAGCGACUGUUUACCAAAAACACAGCUCUCUGCGAAGGCGCAAGCCGAAGUAUAGGGGGUGACGCCUGCCCGGUGCUGGAAGGUCAAGGGGAGCUGUCAGCGCAAGCGAAGCAGCGAGCCGAAGCCCCAGUAAACGGCGGCCGUAACUAUAACGGUCCUAAGGUAGCGAAAUUCCUUGUC
rnacentral:rRNA from 1 species